AACCUGCCUUGGAGUGGGGAAUAACAGCUGGAAACAGCUGCUAAUACCGCAUGAUGCAGUUGGGCCGCAUGGCUCUGACUGCCAAAGAUUUAUCGCUCUGAGAUGGACUCGCGUCUGAUUAGCUAGUUGGCGGGGUAACGGCCCACCAAGGCGACGAUCAGUAGCCGGACUGAGAGGUUGGCCGGCCACAUUGGGACUGAGACACGGCCCAGACUCCUACGGGAGGCAGCAG
rnacentral:rRNA from 1 species